GGGAUAACAUUUGGAAACAGAUGCUAAUACCGUAUAAAUCCUAAAACCACAUGGUUUUAGGCUGAAAGGCGGCUUCGGCUGUCAUUUAGAGAUGGACCCGCGGCGUAUUAGCUAGUUGGUGAGGUAAUGGCUCACCAAGGCAAUGAUACGUAGCCGAACUGAGAGGUUGAUCGGCCACAUUGGGACUGAGACACGGCCCAAACUCCUACGGGAGGCAGCAGUAGGGAAUCUUCCACAAUGGACGCAAGUCUGAUGGAGCAACGCCGCGUGAGUGAAGAAGGCUUUCGGGUCGUAAAACUCUGUUGUUGAAGAAGAACACGUUUGAGAGUAACUGUUCAGACGUUGACGGUAUUCAACCAGAAAGCCACGGCUAACUACGUGCCAGCAGCCGCGGUAAUACGUAGGUGGCAAGCGUUAUCCGGAUUUAUUGGGCGUAAAGCGAGCGCAGGCGGUUUUUUAAGUCUGAUGUGAAAGCCCUCGGCUUAACCGAGGAAGUGCAUCGGAAACUGGGAAACUUGAAUGCUGAAGAGGACAGUGGUACUCCAUGUGUAGCGGUGAAAUGCGUAGAUAUAUGGAAGAACACCAGUGGCGAAGGCGGCUGUCUGGUCAGUUAUUGACGCUGAGGCUCGAAAGCAUGGGUAGCGAACAGGAUUAGAUACCCUGGUAGUCCAUGCCGUAAACGAUGAAUACUAGGUGUUGGAGGGUUUC
rnacentral:rRNA from 1 species